GGACGACAUGGUGUCCUUUGCGGAAGGCAUCCAGUCCUGUGUGGCAUGGGAAAAGGUUGACAUGGUAGAAACUGGAGUGGAGGCCUUGGCCAGGAUGAUUGUGGCAAAAGGACGAAUCCUCCUGGUGCCAAGCACCCCAUCAUUCCUCUACCAGGGCUUCUCAGACAAGCAGCACGUCAUUACUCGGUUGCCAACAGAGACGUGCUCCUGCUCUGCAUCGGACAGUGCCCAGAAGUGUCCACCGACUGGCAGCUGUACUGGCCUUUGACAGAAGUGUGGACAGUCCUAUGCCAAUAAAGCUGAGGAUAAGGCAUCUGGGCGCAAAAUGCUCUGGCCAUAAGUGUGCCACCAAGGAGCAUGUCCAGACAGCCGCCAAACGCCAGGAAGAACAAGCUACCGUUGAUCAACAGGUCCGUCUUAUUUUGGUAUGUCAAAAUGUUGACCAUUUUACUAAGCCAUGUGGUCCUCAUGGGUUUUAUGUAUAUCUGUGAACCCUAAAUGCAGUACUGUCCCAAACUGACCUGUCACCAUUAUUCAAUAGGGUGACCAAUUCCAACACUGUCUGAGAAACACUCCAGCAGGGAUGACGAAUUGGAGAAUAGAGUGAAACUGUGGGCAGGGCAACCGCAAGGAUUUUGUUGGAGGAAACCAUUGCCAUUCUGCACCUUCAGGACUUCCUUACGUUGAAGUCCAAUGAGUGGCUUAGUGGGGAGACCAGUCUGGAGCAGCGCAGUUGCUUGAUUGGAGCCUGCAAUGUGGCAAACUACCACUGGAUACUCUUGGUAAACUGCACAAGAUGGACCAUUUAGUGAGAGAUUAGACAGUACUACACUUGAAUAUGUUAUGAUUGAGGCCAUUUUGAUAUACUGACUUGGUAUUACUGCUUGCAUUUAGUAUGUCCAUCGCAGGACCCACUCUGCCAUUGUCCUGGACCCUACUGGUUGCCCUAACGCGGAGUGCCAUAUGCGCGAGAACCUGGUCAGGCACGGUAAAUCUGGUGUUGUAAAAAUACUUGAAAGUAGUUGGGGUAUUUGACAACUUUUACUUUACUACAUUCCUAAA